rnacentral:rRNA from 1 species
UACGUAGGUGGCAAGCGUUGUCCGGAUUUAUUGGGCGUAAAGGGAGCGCAGGUGGUUUCUUAAGUCUGAUGUGAAAGCCCACGGCUCAACCGUGGAGGGUCAUUGGAAACUGGGAAACUUGAGUACAGAAGAGGAAAGUGGAAUUCCAUGUGUAGCGGUGGAAUGCGUAGAUAUAUGGAGGAACACCAGUGGCGAAGGCGACUUUCUGGCCAUAAACUGACGCUGAGGUACGAAAGCGUGGGUAGCAAACAGG